GCAGUGAUACGUCAAUGCUGAUUACGGGCAAGGUGUGGACGUGUAAUUUGUUUAGAUGCAACCGGACGAUCUUGAGGGACGGAUCGGAGGGCCAGAAGAGGAAGAGGAGAGCAGCCAGGAGGAGGAAAAAGACGGUGGUGAUGAUUAUGCGCCAAAGAGGACGGCGGAUGGUUGGGCGGCAAAAGGGUAAAACGUUGUAGUUUCGAUCGUGUUGACAUGGUAUAGGAGCGUAGUAGUGAGGAGGUUGCCGUUCAAGUUUGGAAAAAUCCAUGGGAGCUUAAGGAGGGAUGAAGGCA
rnacentral:misc_RNA from 1 species